GAUGAACGCUGGCGGCGUGCCUAAUACAUGCAAGUCGAGCGAACAGACGAGGAGCUUGCUCCUCUGACGUUAGCGGCGGACGGGUGAGUAACACGUGGAUAACCUACCUAUAAGACUGGGAUAACUUCGGGAAACCGGAGCUAAUACUGGAUAAUAUAUUGAACCGCAUGGUUCAAUAGUGAAAGACGGUUUUGCUGUCACUUAUAGAUGGAUCCGCGCCGCAUUAGCUAGUUGGUAAGGUAACGGCUUACCAAGGCAACGAUGCGUAGCCGACCUGAGAGGGGGAUCGGCCCCACUGAAACUGAGACACGGUCCAGACUCCUACGGAAGGCAGAGGUAGGGAAUCUUCGGCAAUGGGCGAAAGCCUGCCGGAGCAACGCGGCGUGGGUGAGGAAGGUCUGCGGAUCGUAAAACUCUGUUAUUGGGGAAGAACAAAUGUGUAAGUAACUAUGCACGUCUGAACGGAACCUAUUCAGAAGGCCACGGCUAACUAGGG
rnacentral:rRNA from 1 species